UUCAGGAGAAGAAGCAGCAUCUCACAGGGGCAGCUUGGUUUCCCUCCUCCUGUCCCAAGAAUAGAUAGGAUAAUCAUGGCAAACCAGUUGCGCCCCUUUUAAAUAUACAAAUGAGUGGUAAGGCUGCUAGGAAAGGUCCUAUUCUAGAACAGGAAUUUGUACUGGAUGGAGGCAGAUGGAAACAAAGUGAUCCAGCAGAUUAGGCAAGAGGAAGUAUAAAAGAUCACAGGCGGUCACUACCAACAUGGAGGUUAAAUCCAGGAAUCUGCAGUUAAAGGAUCUCUGAGAGCUCCUGCUGUAGAUCAACCAUACAACGAACAACCGUACAAUUCAUUUCAGGCAGGAAAUCCAGCGGGAGCACAAUUUUCUAGCCACCAUUUCCAUAUCUCAUUAAAAAUCAGAGUUUCCAUGCAAAGCAAAGCUUUGACAAAAUAUAAUUUGUCUUCAGAUUUGUGAGAUUAUUUUAAAGCAAAUACAAGCUCGAGG